rnacentral:rRNA from 1 species
AGGACGAACGCUGGCGGCGUGCUUAACACAUGCAAGUCGAGCGAGGCUCUCUCCUUCGGGAGGGAUGCCCUAGCGGCGAACGGGUGAGUAACACGUGGGCAACCUGCCCCUAGCACUGGGAUAACUCCGGGAAACCGGGGCUAAUACCGGAUACGACCUCUGAGGGCAUCCUCCGGAGGUGGAAAGCAUUGUGGCUAGGGGAUGGGCCCGCGGCCUAUCAGCUUGUUGGUGAGGUAACGGCCCACCAAGGCGACGACGGGUAGCCGGCCUGAGAGGGCGACCGGCCACACUGGGACUGAGACACGGCCCAGACUCCUACGGGAGGCAGCAGUGGGGAAUAUUGCACAAUGGGCGAAAGCCUGAUGCAGCGACGCCGCGUGAGGGAUGACUGCCUUCGGGUUGUAAACCUCUUUCAGCAGGGACGAAGCGAAAGUGACGGUACCUGCAGAAGAGCACCGGCCAACUACGCGCCAGCAGCCGCGGU